AUCCUAGAGAUAGGACUUCCCCUUCGGGGGCAGAGUGACAGGUGGUGCAUGGUUGUCGUCAGCUCGUGUCGUGAGAUGUUGGGUUAAGUCCCGCAACGAGCGCAACCCUUGAUCUUAGUUGCCAGCAUUCAGUUGGGCACUCUAAGGUGACUGCCGGUGACAAACCGGAGGAAGGUGGGGAUGACGUCAAAUCAUCAUGCCCCUUAUGACCUGGGCUACACACGUGCUACAAUGGACAGAACAAAGGGCAGCGAAACCGCGAGGUUAAGCCAAUCCCACAAAUCCGUUCUCAGUUCGGAUCGCAGUCUGCAACUCGACUGCGUGAAGCUGGAAUCGCUAGUAAUCGCGGAUCAGCAUGCCGCGGUGAAUACGUUCCCGGGCCUUGUACACACCGCCCGUCACACCACGAGAGUUUGUAACACCCGAAGUCGGUGAGGUAACCUUUUAUGGAGCCAGCCGC
rnacentral:rRNA from 1 species